AUUCCAGUGUUGCUACAAUCUAGCUCCAUGGC
rnacentral:piRNA from 1 species